UCCUCCACCGACGAGGCCGAGGUUGCUGAGCUCCUCGCCGAGCUGCCAACCCACCGCCCGCCUCCGCUGUACCGCCGCUAGGCCGAGGUCUCGCUCCCAGCCCACAUCCUAACUCCUAGGAGCAAGCGAGUCUCGCCCUGAUCUGAUGUUAACAGGACAUAAGGAAAAUGCGGAAUUUGCGCUUGCCAUGUGUCCAGCAGAACCAUAUGUCCUAUCAGGAGGAAAGGACAAAUCUAUUGUCUUGUGGAGCAUCCAAGACCAUAUAUCUAGAUGUUCAUUGUUAAAACACGUCUAUUUGUUUAAUGAUGUUAUUGUUAAUUAAACUAGGAUCAUUGGCCUUCUCUGUGAAUGUCUAUGUUGACACAUGCCUUAUUUUUAUUUUUAUUUAUAUUAAUACCCUAUAUUGUUUUUUUUAUUUAGGGAUGAAGUGCGCAUGAGUUUUGUAGUGUGGGUGAUGAUGCUUGUCUUAUUCUGUGGGAUGCUUGAACUGGCACUGCCCCAGCUGUUAAGGUUGAGAAAGCUCACAGUGGAGAUGUUCAUUGUGUUGAUUGGAAUCCCCUUGAUGUUAACUAUAUCUUAACUGGGUAUGAUGGCAUUAAGGUUCAAUUCAGCAUAAUCAUUGAAACAAAUUCGAUCUCUGUCAGUUCCUUAUACGUUCAAGUAAUGAAUCUUUCAAUUGAUUAAAAUAACAAAAUUUAUGUAUGGCUACGAUCACAAAUGGACUACAAAACUUUUUCUCGUAACGCUAUAACACACAUUUAUACAUAAGUUAUCGUGUUAUUACAUGUUUCCGUUGCAACGCACGGGCAUUCACCUAGUAGAAUAUAUAAUUUCAACAAUGUGGCAAAUAAGUAGGGGUGUAAUCCUGUUAACGACACACCAAUAUCGGAACCCAGGUAUUGUGUUAAAAGGGCAAGGGCUAGGUUGGCACCCCUCGGUGAUAUGUUGUGUC